rnacentral:rRNA from 1 species
GACGAACGCUGGCGGCGUGCUUAACACAUGCAAGUCGAACGAAGAGCGACGGAAGCUUGCUUCUAUCAAUCUUAGUGGCGAACGGGUGAGUAACGCGUAAUCAACCUGCCCUUCAGAGGGGGACAACAGUUGGAAACGACUGCUAAUACCGCAUACGAUCUGACCUCGGCAUCGAGGAUAGAUGAAAGGUGGCCUCUAUUUAUAAGCUAUCACUGAAGGAGGGGAUUGCGUCUGAUUAGCUAGUUGGAGGGGUAACGGCCCACCAAGGCGAUGAUCAGUAGCCGGUCUGAGAGGAUGAACGGCCACAUUGGGACUGAGACACGGCCCAGACUCCUACGGGAGGCAGCAGUGGGGAAUCUUCCGCAAUGGACGAAAGUCUGACGGAGCAACGCCGCGUGAGUGAUGACGGCCUUCGGGUUGUAAAGCUCUGUUAAUCGGGACGAAAGGCCUUCUUGCGAAU